rnacentral:rRNA from 1 species
GACGAACGCUGGCGGCAGGCCUAACACAUGCAAGUCGAACGCCCUCUUCGGAGGGAGUGGCAGACGGGUGAGUAACGCGUGGGAACCUACCCAGUAGUAUGGAACAACACAGAGAAAUUUGUGCUAAUACCGUAUACGCCCUUCGGGGGAAAGAUUUAUCGCUAUUGGAUGGGCCCGCGUUGGAUUAGCUAGUUGGUGAGGUAACGGCUCACCAAGGCGACGAUCCAUAGCUGGUCUGAGAGGAUGAUCAGCCACAUUGGGACUGAGACACGGCCCAAACUUUUACGGAAGGCAGCAGUGGGGAAUAUUGGACAAUGGGCGCAAGCCUGAUCCAGCCAUGCCGCGUGAGUGAUGACGGCCCUAGGGUUGUAAAGCUCUUUCAACGGUGAAGAUAAUGACGGUAACCGUAGAAGAAGCCCCGGCUAACUUCGUG